rnacentral:rRNA from 1 species
GAUGAACGCUGGCGGCGUGCCUAAUACAUGCAAGUCGAACGAAACUUCUUUAUCACCGAGUGCUUGCACUCACCGAUAAAGAGUUGAGUGGCGAACGGGUGAGUAACACGUGGGCAACCUGCCCAAAAGAGGGGGAUAACACUUGGAAACAGGUGCUAAUACCGCAUAACCAUAGUUACCGCAUGGUAACUAUGUAAAAGGUGGCUAUACUACCGCUUUUGGAUGGGCCCGCGGCGCAUUAGCUAGUUGGUAGGGUAAAGGCUUACCAAGGCAAUGAUGCGUAGCCGAAUUGAGAGGUUGAUCGGCCACAUUGGGACUGAGACACGGCCCAAACUCCUACGGGAGGCAGCAGUAGGGAAUCUUCCACAAUGGGCGAAAGCCUGAUGGAGCAACGCCGCGUGGGUGAAGAAGGUCCUCGGAUCGUAAAACCCCGUUGUUAGAGAAGAAAGUGCGUGAGAGUAACUGUUCACGUUUCGACGGUAUCUAACCGGAAAGCCACGGCUAACUACGUG